rnacentral:rRNA from 1 species
AGAGUUUGAUCCUGGCUCAGGAUGAACGCUAGCGGUGCGCCUAACACAUGCAAGUCGAGCGAUCGAGCCGGACCAAUCAUUCUUCGGAUUGUGCGGACCGGUGACGGAGCGGCGAACUGGUGAGUAACACGUGGUCAACCUGCCCUCUUGACGGGGACAACCUACCGAAAGGGAGGCUAAUACCCGAUGUUGUUCAAGCCCGAUGGGGCUUGUUCCAAAGACGGUUCUGCCGUCGCAAGGGGAGGGGACUGCGGCCUAUUAGCUUGUUGGUAGGGUAACGGCCUACCAAGGCAGUGAUGGGUAGCUGGUCUGAGAGGACGAUCAGCCACAUUGGGACUGAGAUACGGCCCAGACUCCUACGGGAGGCAGCAGUGGGGAAUCUUUCGCAAUGGACGAAAGUCUGACGGAGCGACACCGCGUGGGGGAUGACGGCUUUCGGGUUGUAAACCCCUUUUCUGGGGGAAGAAUAAGGUCGGGAGGAAAUGCCCGUCCGAUGACGG